UACGAAGGGGGCUAGCGUUGCUCGGAAUCACUGGGCGUAAAGGGUGCGUAGGCGGGUCUUUAAGUCAGGGGUGAAAUCCUGGAGCUCAACUCCAGAACUGCCUUUGAUACUGAGAAGCUUGAGUUCGGGAGAGGUGAGUGGAACUGCGAGUGUAGAGGUGAAAUUCGUAGAUAUUCGCAAGAACACCAGUGGCGAAGGCGGCUCACUGGCCCGAUACUGACGCUGAGGUGCGAAAGCGUGGGGAGCAAACAGG
rnacentral:rRNA from 1 species